GAAUUCUGCAGAGAUGCGGAAGUGCCUUCGGGAACUGUGAGACAGGUGCUGCAUGGCUGUCGUCAGCUCGUGUUGUGAAAUGUUGGGUUAAGUCCCGCAACGAGCGCAACCCUUAUCCUUUGUUGCCAGCGGUCCGGCCGGGAACUCAAAGGAGACUGCCAGUGAUAAACUGGAGGAAGGUGGGGAUGACGUCAAGUCAUCAUGGCCCUUACGACCAGGGCUACACACGUGCUACAAUGGCGCAUACAAAGAGAAGCGACCUCGCGAGAGCAAGCGGACCUCAUAAAGUGCGUCGUAGUCCGGAUUGGAGUCUGCAACUCGACUCCAUGAAGUCGGAAUCGCUAGUAAUCGUGGAUCAGAAUGCCACGGUGAAUACGUUCCCGGGCCUUGUACACACCGCCCGUCACACCAUGGGAGUGGGUUGCAAAAGAAGUAGGUAGCUUAACCUUCGGGAGGGCGCUUACCACUUUGUGAUUCAUGACUGGGGUGAAGUCGUAACAAGGUAACCGUAGGGGAACCUGC
rnacentral:rRNA from 1 species